ACCUUUUGCCAGAGGAGACAAAAACAACCAGCAGAAGCAGGUAAAUCAUCCACCACUCCAGACGCCGUUCACAUUUCCACGCACCUCAAAUGACGAGCGUACAGAUUCCAUCAUCGACUCUAUUUGGUUCCAAGUCAUCGAUUUACAGAUCGUCCACUAUCUUCCGCUCUCCAUCUCCCUUCAGAAUUGGUUCUGAUGGCAGCUUGAAUUCGAAAACCUUUCGGGUGUGCAGAAUAUCAUGUGAUUAUUCAUGCUUUGAAAUAAAGGACGUCAGCUACCGACCUCCAGGAACCGAGAUUAAUCUUUUGAAUGGAAUUAGUUUCUCCCUUCAAGAAAAAAGCUUUGGGCUCAUCUUCGGACGAAGUGGAAGCGGGAAAACAACUCUUUUGCAGCUGAUUGCAGGAUUAAGUAAACCAACAUCAGGCUCCAUCUACAUCCAAAGAUAUACUGAUGAUGGUUAUCCAAAUCAGUCUCCAGAAUUUUUGCACCCAAGAAGAGUGGGUAUUGUUUUCCAGUUUCCUGAAAGGUACUUUGUUGCAGACAAUGUUCUUGAUGAAAUAAUAUUUGGGUGGCCAAGACAAAGAGGUGGCCUGCAAUUGAGAGAGCUACUUGCUUCAAGACUCCAAAAAGCUAUGACUUCGGUUGGUCUAAAUGGAAUCUCUUUGGACAAAGAUCCCCAAUCUCUAAGUGGUGGAUACAAACGCCGGCUUGCCCUAGCAAUUCAGUUAGUGCAAAUGCCAGAGCUGUUGAUAUUGGAUGAGCCUCUUGCUGGUCUAGAUUGGAAGGCCCGUGCAGAUGUUGUUAAGUUGUUGAAAGACUUGAAGAACAAGCUGACGUUGCUUGUUGUCAGCCAUGACCUUAAGGAGUUGGCGCCUCUGGUAGACCAAUCUUGGAGGAUGGAAAUGGAUGGAGUAUUGAAGAGUGAAUGCCUGCCUGUUUGAUUGCAUAUUUCUUGCUACCUAAUAAGCUAAUGAUUCUGAUAUUUAGGUAUACCGUAUACCGUAAUUGGUAGGGCUACACAGGAUCAUUAGAUUCAUACGACACUUUCGGAUGAAAAGAUAAUUGAUUCUUGACAGAUGCGUUGUACACAGGGCCUCCAGCCUCAUAAUCCAACAUGGCCAUAGGGGAGCAGAAAAGAAACAAUUCAGAAACUGUUGGCCGCACGACUGUGCUGGAAAGUCUUGUUUAUUUGGUAAGUCAACUUGGCAUUUCAUGCUGAAGUGCACAUGAAGAGUUGUUACACUGCGCGACUGUGUGGAUGUAAACUUGUGUUGCACCAAAAACUAUUUUUUGGCUGAUAACAGUGAAAACGCGUAGCGCCGUAGCCCAUGCUCCAAUCUAGAGAGGUACAUAUACUUGUUGGUCUUGGCUUGUCUGCUUCCAAUAUGUAUGAAGAUUUAUUGGAUGUCCUUUUAAUUAUAAUAUCAUAUGAAUUUCUUUUGAGAUGGAUUGGGCAUAUAUCUCUGUUUACAUGGAUUUCAGUGAGUAUGUGACUCAUUUGCAGUUAAGGUUCUCAAACUACAUGAUUUAAUCUACUCUGAUGAAAUACAGUAGUAUUUUUCUUUCCAGUAUUUGUAUUUGAAUUCAUUUGAUUCUCCGUUGUCUUGUUCUAUUGAUUUAUUUGUGCUUGCCAUAUGAUUUUGCAACUUGUGUUGUGUAUUUAUCAAUGAUACACCAAUUAUAUGGCAAUUACUGAAGCUGCUGAAUGCAAUGAUCUUGUCAUUUUCCAUCCCAGCGAUGCAUACAGAUGCAUUUGGACUUUUAUGCUUGACCAUACUUGACACCUCAUCAUGUACACUCUCUUACAAAUGUUAAUUGCUGCUUAGGAGUUGCUUAGUCAUAUCUUGCUUUCAGAUGUAGUAAAAGAUAUGACCUAAUACUGUGUGUGAGAGUGAGAGUGAUGCGCUUGGUUUAGUCCUAUCGCAGCAUGACAAUUUACUAACAUUAAUUUACGUAUUAAUGUGGAUUGGUAUGAACUUUUUUCUUUCGGCCACUUCUGGACCCCCACCGCAAUUCCUGCACAUUGUUUUUCCUACUAGCCAUUAUGCAUCCCCUUGUGCAAAUCCUGGAUCUUCCUGUUCAUUCGGUACAAGUGUAAAAUAUUUAGAGCAAUCAAGAAAGUAGCAGUGUGCAAGUGUAUAGGUUGCAUGUGAUGUGGUGCAACAACUUGCUAAUGUUUGUGAUAUGUGAUAAGAAAAAAUAUUGACGUGCUG